rnacentral:rRNA from 1 species
GGUCAAGUUAGGAAGGGCAUAUGGUGGAUGCCAAUGGCAUCAGGAGGCGAAGAAGGACGUGGCAGGCUGCGAAAAGCCACGGGGAGCUGCGAGUGAGCGUAGAUCCGUGGAUGUCCGAAUGGGGCAACCCAUCCUGAGGAAAGUCAGGAUAUCACUAUCUGAAUACAUAGGGUAGUGAGGCGAACCCGGGGAAGUGAAACAUCUCAGUACCCGGAGGAAGAGAAAUCAAACGAGAUUCCCUGAGUAGCGGCGAGCGAACGGGGAAGAGCCCAAACCCCUCCAUAAAUACAAGUGUUGAAUGCUAAAUGCUGGAUGUUGGGUUGAAUGAAUUUUUUCAUUUAACAUACAACACUCAACAUUCAACAUUUCUGUUUAUGGAGGGGGGUUGUAGGACCGCGUAAGUAGGAACACCACAGUAUAGUUGAACGCUCUGGAAAGGGCGACCGGAGGGGGUGACAGUCCCGUAGGCGCAAUGCUGUGGAAACCGAAGCGGUAUCCUGAGUACCACAGGGCACGAGGAAUCCUGUGGGAAGCUGGGGGGACCAUCCUCCAAGGCUAAACACUCUACUGAUGACCGAUAGUGGACAAGUACCGUGAGGGAAAGGUGAAAAGAACCCCGGUGAGGGGAGUGAAAUAGUACCUGAAACCGUAUGCUUACAAGCAAUCGGAGUCUCGUAGUAAUACGGGAUGACGGUGUGCCUUUUGAUUAAUGAGCCGGCGAGUUACUGGCACAAGCGAGGUUAAGUCCUUCAGGGAUGGAGCCGUAGGGAAACCGAGUCUUAACAGGGCGAGUGAGUUUGUGUCAGUAGACCCGAAGCCAGGUGAGCUACCCAUGGUCAGGGUGAAGCGAAGGUAAGACUUCGUGGAGGCCCGAACUGAUGUUUGUUGCAAAAAGCUCGGAUGAACUGUGGGUAGGGGUGAAAGGCCAAUCAAACCUGGUGAUAGCUGGUUCUCCCCGAAAUGUAUUUAGGUACAGCCUCAGUGCAACCUUAUGGGGGUAGGGCACUGGAUGGGCUAGGGCCUCGAAUGGGGUACCAAACCCAACCAAACCGCGAAUACCAUGGAGGUGGUCGCUGGGAGUGAGACUGCGGGUGCUAAGAUUCGUAGUCGAGAGGGAAACAGCCCAGACCGUCAGCUAAGGUCCCUAAGGGUAUGCUAAGUGGUAAAGGAUGUGGUGUUGCGGAGACAGCCAGGAUGUUGGCUUAGAAGCAGCCAUCAUUAAAAGAAAGCGUAACAGCUCACUGGUCAAGCGACAUCGCGCCGAAAAUUUAACGGGGCUAAGCAUACUACCGAAGCUACGGACUUCCGGGUUGUGAACAAAGUUCACAAUCGGAGUGUUGAAUGUUGAGUUUUGGGUGUUGGAUGAAGAAGUUUUUCAUUCAGCAUUCAACAUCUAACAUUUAAAAUUCCGGAUUGUGGGUUUUAGUCACAAUCCGGGAGUGGUAGGGGAGCAUUCUGUAGGCCGUUGAAGGUUCCGGGUGACCGGGGCUGGAGGUAGCAGAAGAGAUUAUGCCGGCAUAAGUAGCGCAAAUUCUGAUGAAAAGUCAGGACGCCGUAAACCUAAGGUUUCCUGGGGAAGGGACAUCCGCCCAGGGUUAGUCGGGCCUAAGGCGAGGCCGAAAGGCG